AGAGUUUGAUCCUGGCUCAGAGCGAACGUUAGCGGCAGGCUUAACACAUGCAAGUCGAGCGAGAAAGAGGGGCAACCCUUGAGUAAAGCGGCGGACGGGUGCGUAACACGUGGAUAAUCUGCCUGGAGUGGGGAACAACAAUCCGAAAGGAUUGCUAAUGCCGCAUGUCCCAAUUUGGUCUCCGGACUGGAUUGGAAAAG
rnacentral:rRNA from 1 species